AAGUCCAGGAGGUGGUAGUACA
rnacentral:miRNA from 1 species